rnacentral:ncRNA from 16 species
GCCGCGCGCCGUGACUGGCGAACAGCCUGCCCGGCCGGCGGCCGGCGGGAUGAGCGUGGCAGGGACCACGCGGGCGUGGAACCGACCACGAGGAAGCGGCGCGCGGGCAGAACGCCACGAGGUGCCGAACGCCUGGGCACCCGGG